rnacentral:misc_RNA from 1 species
UCCGGUUUGUCACCGGCAGUCUAUCUAGAGUGCCCACCCGAAGUGCUGGCAACUAAAUAUAAGGGUUGCGCUCGUUGCGGGACUUAACCCAACAUCUCACGACACGAGCUGACGACAACCAUGCACCACCUGUCUUGAAUGUUCCGAAGAAAAGGUACAUCUCUGCACCGGUCAUUCAGAUGUCAAGACCUGGUAAGGUUCUUCGCGUUGCUUCGAAUUAAACCACAUACUCCACUGCUUGUGCGGGUCCCCGUCAAUUCCUUUGAGUUUCAGUCUUGCGACCGUACUCCCCAGGCGGAGUGCUUAAUGUGUUAACUUCGGCACCAAGGGUAUCGAAACCCCUAACACCUAGCACUCAUCGUUUACGGCGUGGACUAC